AGUGCACACAGCCCCGUCCAUACCCGGAUCAGUGGGUGGGUGCAACGUGGGUGACAGGACUCAAACAUGGCUAGUUCUUUCCAGUUAGGAGAGAUCGAACGCCCCGUUAUGGAAGGUGUAAGGGCAGCCUCCAAGGUGCAGGUCCACCGGCGGUGCCGUCCACAUCAUUAAUGGUCUCCACAUCAGUGGUGCCGUCGGGCACUUCCAGCUCUGAGAUCAAAUGGGCAUACUGUAAAUUCUAAAGAGGACACGGAGUGCUUGCUAGGUCUAGAGACAACACCGAUGGCCUCGUCAAAGGCUUUGUCUUCUUCAACAUCAAUAGGACUGCACACAGGAGGAUAAAAGAAGAUACAGUCCCUUAAAAAAUGUACCACCCUAAAAUGUCAAUUAAAUGUUACAUGGUAAAAGUUUAAUACAUAAAAUUGUACAUGAAAUCUGCAAAGUGAAUAGUAAAUUAAUAAAUUAAAUUUCCUUCUCGCUGUCCUUGAAUCCUGUCCCAUGGUCAGAUGGAGCACUGGCUUCAACAGCCUUUUGCUAGAGAUGGGCGAACGAUGCCUUGUGAAGCUUUGGUGGUUUCUUCCGGAUUGUGCCGAACCAAAGAGCCGAAAUUUUAGAGCACAGUGACAUCUAGUGGUUUAAAAUUAUAGCAGCCGUUUAAACUAACUGAAUGCGAUGUACCAGUAGUUUCUGGCGGUACUUCGCCUCGUUAAUUAUUCAAUGUCGUUCAUUUUUGUAAGGCUACGUGAUGGUCUAAUAUUCGUGUUCAUUCAUUAAAACCAUACAUGUGUAUUUGAGAACUGUGUAAUUUUCAUACAAUAAAUAUGUUUUACUGU